GAUUUCAUUGCUUUGAUUUAACAAAUGCUGGAAAGAUAACAAGGUGAGUUGUUGUUAAGUGAAGAUGGAAGACUGGGAGGAUGAGAUUCCACCUCUCCUUGCAAAGGAACAACUUAAAAGCAAAUGGAAUGAUGAAGAUAUUGAUGACUCUGAUAUCAAGGAAUCAUGGGAGGAUGAAGAUGAACUUGCUCUGCCUCUUCAUUGUAACUUGCUUGUGGAAUAAACUGAUUAUAAAUCAAUGGCUGAAUUAUUUUCCAAGAAAGGUGAUGAUAAGACUCUUGAUAAUUUUAUUCCCAAAUUUGAAAGUGACUUUCUGGAGUAUGCUGAGCUUAUUUCUCACAAGCUUUGCCCAUAUGAGAAAAGUUAUCACUAUAUUGUACUACUCAAGGCCGUGAUGAGACUAUCAUUGACUUCUUUGAAAGCAGCUGAUGUCAAAGAUAUUGCAUCUUCGAUCACAACAAUUCUUGCUAGAUCUGUCAAAUAUUUUUUUUUCUGUAGAAUGGGAAGAUUCCAGUUAAGGAGAAGAAGAGUUCUAAGAAAAGACCAAGAGAAUUGA